AUUUGACUCACGCGGGAAUCUUACCGGGUCCGGACACACUGAGGAUUGACAGGUUUCGAGAGUUUUUUUGGAGUUCGCUCCAGAAUGCUCUCUUAAAUAUGCUAGUCCUUUCAUGAUUAUGUGAUAGGUGGUGCAUGGCCGUUCUUAGUUCGUGGAGUGAUCUGUCUGCUUAAUUGCGUUUCACUAAAGGCGUCAUUAUAUUUUUGUGCUUGUGUUUGACCCCUCUUUCUUCGGAUUGAGCGCGUGUCUUUCACACACAAUUACUUUGACGUCUGAAAGCAACGAACGUGACCGUAACCUCUUGUUGCCUUCUCUUCUCUUCGGAGAAUGCUAGUUUUUUUCUUCGGAUAAAUUCUAGUAUAUGGAGGCUUUUACUCAAACUAGAGGGACCGCUGUUACUUUCUUUAAACCAGAGGAAGGUUGCGGCAAUAACAGGUCUGUGAUGC
rnacentral:rRNA from 1 species